rnacentral:lncRNA from 1 species
UUUUUUUUUUUUUUUUUUUUUUUUUUUUUUGAGGCGGAGUUGCACUCUUGUUGCUCAGGCUGGAGUGCAAUGGCACGAUCUCAGCUCACCGCAACCUGCACCUCCCAGAUUCAAGCAAUUCUCUUGCCUCAGCCUCCAGAUUAGCUGGGAUUACAGGCGCCUGCCACUAUGCCCUGCUAAUUUUUGUAUUUUUAGUAGAGACGGUGUUUCUCCAUGUUGGUCAGGCUGGUCUCGACCUCCCGACCUCAGGUGAUCUGCCCACCUCAGCCUCCCAAAGUGCUGGGAUUACAGGUGUGAGCCACCGUGCCCAGCUUUUUUUUUUGUUUUUGAGACAGAGUAUCACUGUCACCCAGGCUGGAGUGCAGUGGUGUGAUCUCGGCUCACUGCAACCUCCACUUCCCAGGUUCAAGUGGUUCUCAUGCCUCAGCCUCUGGAAUAAUUGGUAUUACAGGCGUGCACCACCACGCCUGACUGAUUUUUGUAUUUUAGUAGAGAUGGGGUUUCACCAUGUUGGCCAGGCUGGUUUCGAACUCCUAACCUCAGGUGAUCCACCCACCUCGGCCUCUGAAAGUGGAUUACAGGAUUACAGGUGUGAGCCACUGCACCUGGCCAAGGGGACAAUUUCAACUAUCUUUAACAUAGUUGGUGACGAAGAAAACAGAAUGCCUCUUAGUGGCCAGAAUAUAUGUCAUGACGUACAUGCAAUAAAGUCCACACACAUUAGUCACAGAGGAGACUGACUCAAAGGCCACUUAAACACAGUGCAAAGCAGCAGCACCAGAACUCACACACCCUGGAUGGGGGCCGUGUAAGAAGUACCUUGAUUGAUGGCCAGUAUCUCUGAAUGAUAGUUUUUCCCAUUCUGGUUUCUGACCAUGUAUUCCUGGAUUGGCAAGCGUGCGGUCUUGACAGAGUAUUCCCGGGCCUUUUGAAAUGUCACCUUCUGUAAAUAUAUAGUUAAAUAUUUUUCUUAUAAAAAUUAUACAUGAGUAUAUUCUCAAUGUAAUACAGCAUUAAAAAUAAGUAGCCUAUUGUGGAAUGGAAGAAACUGCAGAUAAU